CGCCAAACUAGCAAUUGUUUCGGGAAAUAUACAAGGAAAUUAUUACUUGUAUCCAAAAUACAUUGGGGAAUAUUUCUAACCAUCAUUAGAGAAUUUCAACAAAGAUGAGAUUCCUGCUGUUGGUUGUUAUUCACAGCAUUUUGGUAGAAGAUACAUUUGGUGAAAAUAUAGUCUCAGACAUGAAAACAAAUCAUUAUGUAGGAGAAACAGCUAUUUUGUCAUGCAACUUUUCUGGUGAUGCAUCAGGAAACAGAUGGCGACGUUCUGGUGCAAUUAUUGCAACAUCAUCGAAUAUAACUUUGGCAGGCCCCGCGAGUAAACACUUCAAUGUCGUCGAGGAUGAAGAACAAGACAAAUAUAAUCUUGAAAUUUAUAAUGUGACAAAAUUAGAUUCUGGUCUUUACUGGUGUGAAAUGCAAAGAGAUGGACAGAUUACACAGCAAAGAGUCACAUUGUUCAU